rnacentral:lncRNA from 1 species
UCUUUUUGGAAAUCGAGGUCCUUGCGUAGAGGGAAAGGAGAUCUACAUUUUUCCCUUCAGCUGGAAGUGCAACUGGGAUCCCCCUCCUCCUCGAAUCCCCUUUCUUUUCUUCUUUCUUCUUCUUCUUCUUCUCCUUUUCUUUCCUUCUUUUCCUCCACGCCUGAGAACCCCCUCUCUGUGACUCUCUCUCGGUUUCAUUCCCGUGAGCCACCAACCACCCCAUUUAAAUCACAUCAAAGCACUAUUCACCUUUGUUUAAUAUUAUUAAAUUUCCAUUUUGCCCCUAACACUUCAACAUAUCUACAACUAUGCCAUUAUCUUUU